rnacentral:sRNA from 1 species
AGUGAUAGAUCGGAUAAGGAUAACUUUCAAAGUUCAACUCAGAUCGCAUACACUCCUUUU